AACGAACGCUGGCGGCAUGCCUAACGCAUGCAAGUCGAACGAGACCUUCGGGUCUAGUGGCGCACGGGUGCGUAACGCGUGGGAACCUGCCCUUAGGUUCGGAAUAACUCCCCGAAAGGGGUGCUAAUACCGGAUAAUGUCUUCGGACCAAAGAUUUAUCGCCUUUGGAUGGGCCCGCGUUGGAUUAGCUAGUUGGUAGGGUAAAAGCCUACCAAGGCGACGAUCCAUAGCUGGUCUGAGAGGAUGAUCAGCCACACUGGGACUGCGACACGGCCCAGACUCCUACGGGAGGCAGCAGUGGGGAAUAUUGGACAAUGGGCGAAAGCCUGAUCCAGCAAUGCCGCGUGAGUGAUGAAGGCCUUAGGGUUGUAAAGCUCUUUUACCCGGGAUGAUAAUGACAGUACCGGGAGAAUAAGCUCCGGCUAACUCCGUG
rnacentral:rRNA from 1 species